AUCAGCCUCCCCCCUGAGUACCGGACAAAGUAAGUUAUGUCUCUCUCUCUUUCUCUCUCUCUCUUUGGUUAUUAAUAAAAUAUACUUUUAAAAAAUUUCUCUUUGAUCUUUUAUAUCCCCCCCUUUUUUCCUUGUUUUUUUUUUUAAAGUGCUUACGAGUGAGCAGGGCGGUACCUCAAAAUUGGUCACCCCAUCUGCCUCCCCCGCCCCCUAAGUACCGGGACAAAGUAAGUUAUCUCUCUCUCUCUCUCUCUCUCUUUGGUUAUUAAUGAAAUAUACUUUUAAAAAAUUUGUUUGAUCUUUUAUAUCCCCCCCCCCUUUUCCUUGUUUUUUUUUUAAAGUGCUUACGAGUGAGCAGGGCGGUACCUUAAAAUUGGUCACCCCAUCUGCCUCCCCCCGCCCCCUGGGUACCGGACAAACGACAACGAGUGAGCAGGGCGGCACACCAGAAUUGGUCACCCCAUCUGCCUCUCAUUCAUCUACAGGACAAAGUUAUGGAACACAAGCAACACAUGUAUUUCUCAACACCAGUUCUCUGGCGUAUACAAAAAACAGCACUGAACAAAGUAAUACUGAAAAUCAUUUCUUUAAUAAUCAAUCACUUGGCAUUUUCUUUUCUCUUUUUUUAAAUUGAUUAAUUUCCUAAUUGUGUAAUUUUGUUUUUCUUUUCAGACACAAACUCAACAGUAAUAGUUUUUCCUUUAUAUAUCAAUAGCACCUUACCUACUUUUACUAGACCUACACAGCAUGGCUUUCUGUAUCUGAGCUUUUUGUCCUUUUUAAUCAUACCUGUUGUAGCCUUUCCUUUAUUCUUUUUAAAACGCUAUAAACGCAUCAAUAAUAAGCAUAAAUUAACUCAAAGCAUAUGUUUAGCUCAUGCAAAUGUUUACAGACAAACAUCAAUUACUUUAUUAAAUGAUCAAAAUCUGAUCUAUCGAAAUGAAGAUGAUCCAAAUGAAUCUUCAACAGAUACUUUUUCAUUUCAUUCAUCCAUGUCUUCAAAUAUAUACGAAGAACCGAUAUCAAGUGCAUAGUCGUUUAAAUGUUUCAAUUGCAUAAAACUUUCUAUUGUGCACGCUUUUAUUAUCCAUUGUUGCUUUAUAUCCUUUGUUUACGUCUUUUCUUUGUUUGUGUAGUCGCAUCUAUCGUCCUCGGUGUCACCCUCCCUACCGGCCUUGCAUUUGUUAUCAUUUGUGUGGUGUAUCGCCGCCGCCGCCGCAACCGCCACCUGAUUCCGGCUGACAUUCCCAUAGUGGAGUUGGUUCCCCGCUACAUAGAUGACGAGGAGGACACUACUGAGGAUGAAUUGAUUGUCGAGUUUGACAAGUUGGCCUUGGGGGCGGCGAAACGGAGAAAUCCUAGAGACCCGUCAGAUGCAAGUCCUGCGGUAACUAGGGCCCAGGCAAAGUAUAAGAAUUUGAAAUUUUUUGGGGGUCUUCUUUGAUUUUUUCUUUUCAUUUGUAUUUUGUGGAACAAAACUCAUGAUUUUUUCAUAUUUUUAUACAUUCCUGAAUACAUCUUUUUACAUUAUCCCAUAUCUUCGUAAAUUACAUGUUUAGUUGAAAAUUUACACUGUAUCACUUUUUUUAAGGAUAUGCGAUCCUCAGCCAUAAAGUAUAAUUCUUUUCAUUUAUUACAAGUUUGAACAAUUGCUUUGGGUAAAUUUACAUUACUUUUAAGAAUUCAGGUACAUUUUUGUGAUCAUUUUUCAAUUAUUUAAUGUCUGGAUUUUAAAUCCUGUGGAUCGAACGACUAUAUAUUUAAGAAUUGUCACGUUCUUUACCAAUGUAUUAAUAGUCAGGAAAUACUUAGUUCUUUCAUAUUGCUUUUUUAA